rnacentral:rRNA from 1 species
AAAGCGUGCGUAGGCGGUUAUGUAAGACAGAUGUGAAAUCCCCGGGCUCAACCUGGGAACUGCAUUAGUGACUGCAUAGCUGGAGUACGGCAGAGGGGGAUGGAAUUCCGCGUGUAGCAGUGAAAUGCGUAGAUAUGCGGAGGAACACCGAUGGCGAAGGCAAUCCCCUGGGCCUGUACUGACGCUCAUGCACGAAAGCGUGGGGAGCAAACAGGAUUAGAUACCCUGGU